rnacentral:rRNA from 1 species
UACGAAGGGGGCUAGCGUUGCUCGGAAUCACUGGGCGUAAAGGGUGCGUAGGCGGGUCUUUUAAGUCAGGGGGUGAAAUCCUGGAGCUCAACUCCAGAACUGCCUUUGAUACUGAAGAUCUUGAGUCCGGGAGAGGUGAGUGGAAUUGCGAGUGUAGAGGUGAAAUUCGUAGAUAUUCGGAAGAACACCAGUGGCGAAGGCGGCUCACUGGACCGGUAUUGACGCUGAGGUGCGAAAGCGUGGGGAGCAAACAGG